GCUUGCUCUUGAAGCCUUCAGUCUCUAUGCACGCAGCAUGCCUUCCCAGCCUCCUGUGGUUGUAGAGUGUAUAGAAGGCAGUUGGAUCACUAUGGACAGCGGGUAAGAGCUGAGGAAGCAGCCUCCGCCAGGUGGUAACAUGGAGGACCCUGAAGCAGGCCAAUUAAAUCAAGCAUAUUCCUCAGUAUCAUGGAGAGACUGGAGGUUAGAGACACCAAAACCAUCCCUGGCUUAAUGACUUUGGGAUCCCUGGGCCCCUCCAUGCAGCAGAACGGCAAUUAACCAAGCAAAGGAAGAGAGGGCAGCAGGGCUGAAUCCUGUCAUGGAAUGCUUCCAUCUGCAAGUGGCACAUUUCAGUGGCCAAAGCAAAUUAUGCCAUCCCUGACUUCAAGACCAUUGGCCAUUCUCUGACCAUCUCAAGCCAGAGGUGACUUGAUCUGUCACCCAGCUGUGGCCCAUGAGCAUUAUCUAAGGAGGAACAUUUUUGCUUACGUUUCCAGUGCUCUACAUAAGCCCUAGGCCCUGGGAGGCACUGAAAUGCUCAAUGGGAGCUCCAUGUGUGCAGGCUUAUGGACUGAAAUACUACUUUCAUGGCUCUGGCUAUGAACAUCAGCAUAUAGAGAAUGGAUCACUACCAAAGAAGGCACCCGAAUGUGUCUGUCUCAUCCUGGGGAAACUCAUUCAUCUGUAUAUGUACUCAGCAAGUGUUUCCUGGCACCUGCUCUGGGUCACAGUGCUGGGCACUGGAAGCUGAGAGAUGUGGAAGAAGGCUGGACAUUCAAGAUGAGAAGCCCGAGGCUGGUAAACUAGAGUCCAAGGGCAGAAAGCUGCUGAGCCAACCUAAAUGUGCAGUCCCAUCUCUCCCAAAGAUCCCAGGCCAGCCGGAGCUGAAUGCAAGAACUAUUUAAGAAGCCUCAGCUCCUCUUCACUCCCAGGGACAAUGGCUGGAGGAAGAAAUGAGAGGAUCUCUAUACCCAGGCCUUGGCUUCUAUGUCCCUUCUCGAAGUGGUUGAAGUGCAGAUUUCUGAUUCUGUACCCAGCCUCCAGGGACACAGUACACAGUAUGCUGGGAAUGGCGGUGGGUGUUUGAGGUACAUUACUUCCAGACAAAACAUGGCUGCAGAGGGAUACCAAAAGCAUCUUCUGGUGGCUGAAGCCCUGUCUGCACAAGUGUCUGUGUUCUUCAAUGGUUCAGGCAAGCUCAGACAGACCCUCUGCUUCUCUUAACCUGAGACACUAGUUUCCCCAAGAACUUUGAGCUGAAGGUUCCUUGCUGUGUCCCCUACCUGGCUGUGAGGACUUUGAGUAUAAUUAUCCUAUCUUAUUUGUUGCUGUGCUCCCAGUGUCUUGGAUGGAGCCUGACAUCUAGUCAGUGUUAGUAAAUGUUGAUGUGUAUUGAAUUUUGCAAGGAUCUGCAGCCCUGAGAAGAGGGGAUACUUCUUGGAAACCUCUGUGGGCUAAAUUGAGGGUUAAGGACUGGGACUGGAAGGCAGAGAUUCCAGAGUGAUAACCACAGUAGUUACUAUUUCAUGAGAGCCUCCAUGUGCCAGCCUCUAAGCUAGGCCCAUACCAUGCAUUACCUCUUGUCCCCACUUUACAGAAACUAAGGCUUAGACAAGUUAAGCAACUUGCUAAAGAUCAAACAACUCAAUAUGUGUUGGAGUCAAAUGAACGCAUUUCUUUUCCAUUUCCCUCAUUUACUCCACUAAUGACAGUACUUAAAUUGUAGACUAGGAAUUAAAAUAGCAGAAGCCUGACUUGAGAGGGCAGAGCCCCUGCGUUUGAGUGCCUGAAAGUCAGUCAUGGGUAGAAAGAACAGUCUUGUAGCAGAGCUCUGGGCAAGGGAGGAGCCGUGAGCAGGUGGACAUGAACUCACUGUGACAACUCUCCAACAGUGAAAGCAGGUUCCCAUGGAAUCCAGGGAAAUUACUGAAUAACUUUCAACACAAAAAUGUGUGCUAGUGAGCUGUAGAGCCU